AUAUUACUCCCUCCGUCUGGAAUUACUUGUCAUAGAAAUGGAUGUAUCUAGAAGUAUUUUAGUUCUAGAUACAUUCAUUCCUUUCCAUUUUGGUGACAAAUAUUUUCAGACGGAGGGAGUACUUG
rfam:Hordeum vulgare subsp. vulgare, WGS project CAJW01000000 data, contig: morex_contig_52463